rnacentral:lncRNA from 10 species
CUUAAGUUGCAUUUUAUUUACUGAGGUUUUAAAAAAAAUUGUGGCAAAAGAUAAAUAAAAUUUACCAUUUUAAUCAUUUGAAGUGUAUAAUUCAGUGGCAUUAAGUAAAUCUGUAAAGCUCUACGACCAUCACCACCAUCCAUUUCCAGACAUUUUUGUCAUCCCAAAGAGAAAUUCUGUACACAUUAAACAGUAACUCCCCACCACUCCCAACCUGAGGAGCAGUGUGGGACAGGACACCAUGCAAGGUGAAGACCCUCCCCAGCAUCCUGCGUUUUGCAAGGACCUAGUGCCUGCUCAGCUGUCACCCGUCAGGCAGAACACCGAAACUCAGCCACAAGCUGCUGCUGCCAUCCCCAGCAUAUAACGAAGGAAAAAUUAAGCAAGUGUGUGCUUCUUUAGCCUCCUCUCUUAAUACUGCAUCUUCAGAAUUAAAACUGUGGUGGGCCAGGCAGUCCUUUUGGUGGCCACGUAUUACCUCUGACCAUCACCUGCUGCUCAAACCCACACUCACGCCACUGCAUGAUCCCUUCCACCCCAGGGCCCUUGCACACGAUGAGCCCCUGGCCUGCAAUGCCCUUCCUUCACUUCCUUCAUCGUCACCUUCUCAGUAAAGCCCUCCCUGCCUCUUUUGUAAAUUUCUUCCCAUCCUCUAUACCCUUCCCACCUCUCUCCCCAUCUUUAGCUUUUCCCUGUAUCACUUAUUCAACACAGCAUAGAUUUUGUUGAAGGCAGGGGUUUCUGCCUUCUGUUUAAUGCUAGCUGCCCAGUGCCUAGAAAAGUGCCUGGCAUCCAGUAGGUGUUCAAUAGAUAUUUAUAGAGUUAAAUGCACUAAACUUAGGAGGCGGAAGUUGUUUUUUUUGGAGGCCUUUGCCCAUUUCACUCCCUCCUUCCCGUUCCACCUUCUAGGUUUCUCAUUCCCUCUGCUUCUUCUCUUUUGCCGGGGUGUCGCUGGGGCUUGGGUGACUCCACCAGGCAUGGAGGGGGUGGGUACUCCCAGCUGGCUCGCCAACCUUCGCUUCUUGCCUCGCAAAGGCAACCUGGCGGAGGGUCUGUGGGUCAAGCAGAGUCCAGCUCUAGUUUCUCCCCUUCCAGGCUGUGCGCCCUCAGCCAGGCCUCUCCUCGCCUACAGGGCUCGCGGACACUUCUGACCCUCACUGAGGUCGUAAAGAUUACAAGUCAGUGGUCCACAACGACUGGCGUCGGGCCCGCCGCAUACCCACUAUGUACGACUGGCCGCUAAGUCAGCCGAGGCCCUGGGGCUCCGCUCCACAACCCAGCCCACGGUCAGCUUUCCUGGGCUGCUCCGUCCCGCGAGGCCAUCGCCCCAUUCAUAUUCGGCAGGGCAUUUCCACGCGUCCCGUCUCAGGCAAGCCCCAGAGCACCCUUUUUCGGGCAACACUGUGCCCACUUCACUGGAGAGGGAACUGAGGUCCACGUCAUUGGGAGAGGAACACGUGACAUAUUGAGCUCUUUCCUCAGCAAGUGACCUAACCCGCCUUGCCCUCGGCCGUGAGCAGAGGGCCAGACCGGAAGUCCGCUAGCUCUGCUGUUCCGAGGCCCGCCAGUCUCCAAACCCCGGUCUUAGAUCGAGGUCUCUGGCCGUUUCCCUCCGCAGCAAAACCCUUGUUCCAGGACUACACCAGACGGGUCACACGACCUAGAUCGGCACGGUCACAUGUCCCGCAGUCCGGUCAUGUGCACCCUCGGACCAAUCCCAGCGGCCAGGAAGGAGAGGCAUUGUGAUUGGCCCAUGCCCUUCAGGGGGCGGGACUCCU